rnacentral:pre_miRNA from 1 species
CAGCCUCUGAAAGCGCUAGGAUUACAUGUGUGACCCACUGAGCCUAUUAUUGUAAACAGCAUUAAAAGUAAUGUUUCCUGGUCGGGCACGGUGGCUCACACCUGUAAUCCUAGCACUUUGGGAGGCUG